AGACCAAUCAACCUGAUGCAUGUUCAAGCCCAUAAAUAUUUAAAGUGGUGACUAUUUCACGCUUUCUUGCAACAUGGCUAAAGUCUCAUUUUUUCAUGGCAAAGUUUGGUUCACAUGUUUCCAGUAAGAUUUCAUGCAUGGGGGAGGCAUGCCUUACCUUGGCCAAUCCAUUUCUUCCGGUUAACUUCGCAUAUAGCAAACUACAUUUGCAUUUAUUUUGUUCAGUUUCUUGUUCUCUCUUACUUUUGCUUUGCAACAUAGAAACGAAACUGUGUGGUUCCUUAAUAUUGUACUCACAGAUCAACGCAAUAAAUGCUGCUAAUGUGAUCUUUCGUAAUCAAUUAGGUGUUGAUGGAUGAUAUCAAUGCUGGUUAUGAGCGCCUUGCCGAGUUACAGGUAAAACACUCGUUCCUUCUAUUUCUUCAUUCUCUUCUGAAAUAAGACAGCAUAACGGCGCCUUUUAAUCAUUUUCCUCUUUGUUUCCGGGGAAAUUUUGAACCACUUUUGUACAGGUAAAGAAGGUUAAUGGUGUUGAAGUUUUGAAUCUGAAACAUUUACGUCAACUUGUGGAAGAUGGUAACCAAAAGAACGUAAGAUUUGAUUUGGAUGAUGAGAGGGUGAUUGUUUUGAACUAUGAAUCAGCAAGAAUAGCCACAUCGCGUAUACUGAAACGCCAUAGAAUACCUCAUGCCAUGUCCAGCGACCUUACCGAUGAUCAAAAUGCUGCUGAACUUGAGUUGGCUUGCUCAACGUCUCUAUAAAGGCGUCCUUUGCUAUUAUAGAGGAUGAUUGUUGUAGAAUCGCGUAUACUGAAACGCCAUAGAAUACCUCAUGCCAUGCCUAGCAACCUUACCGAUGAUCAAAAUGCUGCUGAACUUGAGUUGGCUUGCUCAACGUCUCUAUAAAAGCGUGCUUUGCUAUAACAGAGGAUGAUUGUUGUAGAGAGGUCGGAUUGUACUUGUCUUCAUUAUUCUUUCCAAAAUUUUGCUAUUUGAUACCUUUUUUCUUUAGUUGACAUAAUGUAUUCUUAUUUAUGUAGUCAUAUGUGACGCCCCAAAGUUUUGGGGCCUAUCACCCGCCAGGAUUGUGCGUGCCAACUAGGCCGCAACCUUGUCAGCUAUGCAGGCGGCAUGUGCUGAGGGAAUAUGCUGAAGUCGAAGAUGAGGCAAAAGGGCAUAACAUGAGGCAACAAGCAUCUAUAUAUGUUGCAUGACAUGUCCUAAGUGUGCCAAGGUGAUUUGGAGAGGGCUUGGUGUGAGCCCAAGGGGCGGAUGCAUGGUGAGGAUCGUGUGCAGUGUUUGAUGUCAGUGCCGUGUCAUUUUGAGCUACAAGUGGAAUCUAAGGAUUCCGGUUUAGAGUGUUGAUAUUAAGGGUACCUUAUGUAUGCUUACCAAAUUUGGGGUUAUUUGGAGUCCGUUUGGAUAGGAGCUUAACUUGGCCAAAGUUUAGUGGCAUUGUCGUAAUUUGCUGAUUGGUCCGAAGGCCAUAACUCAUUCCAUGUGUAUGAGAAUAGGGUGAAACUUUAUGGAGGUAUGAAGGAAGUCAAGAGAAAGGAGUAGGAACAGACGACACCCAAUUUGAAGGUCGGAUAAAUGAUCUAAGCCCCAGUAUAGUUCUCGGGCAAAAUGAUGUCUAGUGGUGGACAUUGAGAUUAUUUAUUUUUAGCAUAUAUAAGGGGAGUAUACAUGGUGACAGCCUACCAGCCUCCCCCGGGCGUGUCGACAGAUGGCCACCUUAAGUGUGCUGCCUUGAAGGACAACCUCAAGGGCCUGCCUUGGCAUGUCAAAGGAAUGCGCAAGGUACUCAUAGGGGGUCAGGUGGACUAGCGUUGGGCGCCCCGACAAGGCUAGAGGUUGGCUAUAUGAAUCGACAUGCCCCGCGGUCUGUCUAAAUGAUGGAAGGACGCCUCCAAGCCGAUAGAGCAAUCGAGAUACUCUCCCCAAGAGACUCGUGAGCUAACUUGUGAGCCUGGUCAAGGUUCAGCCAAGCGAGCAAGGGUCCGUUGGCCUAGACGCGCAGUAGUGGGGUGACACUAUGCUAUGGAAGUUGGAUGCAAGUUGCGUGGGCUAUGUUUGGCAAUGCCAUAAGACAUAAGAGGGCAUGACUAAGGAAGACGCUUGAGACAAAGGCCAAGGAUUGAAGGUUACCCUACUCGGGUGAAGCAAAGGCCAAGUGCACAUGCACAAGGUGAUGUCAAGCUUGAGGAUAGGACUGUGCACGCUAUAACGAUGCCCAGGUCCAGGCGAGGGACGAGUAUGUCCGUAGCCAUCACCGGGAGCACAUAUGAAUGAGAUCCAAGGAUUAAAGGUGCGCCAUAAGAGUUGCUUAUACGUUGGCCAUGUCAGCCGACAUGUUGAUAGAGCGGCACCAAAGGGAGCAAACCUUUGAGGCGAGCUUCCCACAGGCACAGAAUCGUGCUAAAGACCUGGAAAAUGAGGAAGGCUGGCCCAUAGUUGGGGGAACCAUGGGCGUCGCAUGGACGAAAUUGUGUGCCACUGGCACAGUGAAAAAUGAGCCCGUGACACAUAACUUGUAUAGUUUUAUUGAAGAGAAAACAAGUAGUUAACCAUUUUACUUAAUUAAUUUAUUGGAAAUCUUAAAUUCAACUUUCAUUAAUCUUUUAUUAGGGGAGUUUAUAUUUCGGUAGAGUCGAUUUUUCUCUAAAAUAAAUUAAAUUAAUCAAGUUGAUUUUUCAAAUAUUGAAAUCAAAUGGAAUCACUAAGUCGAUUUUUAAGUGGUUCAUUUUUUAUUUUUUUUUAAUAUGCGACAUGCACUAUUAGACAUGUGAUUAGGUGGUCACGGGUUCAAGCCUUGGAAACAACCUCUGAUAGAAAUGCAAGAUAAGACUACGUACAAUAUACCUUUGUGGUGGGAUCAUUUCCCGAACCCUGUGCAUAGCGGAAACUUUAGUGUAUCGGACCGUCUUUUUUACCUGCACUAUUAGACACGUUCUUACAAAUUACUCUUUAAGACGACAUCAUAAUACAUAAAUGUGCCGCCUAACACGACUUUAGCUUGUUAUGCUCGUCAACUAUGGGUGUGCACAGGUAGACACUUAAAAUUAUAUAAAAUUGAAUAAGUAGGCACAUGCAUUUUAUGUGGCGUUCUAACGUGUAUUAUGUCACGUAGGGCGAAUGUGUCUGCUUGUUCAAUUUUACACAAAUUUUAAGUGUCUAGUUGUGUUCACCCAAAAUUAAAAUUCAUAGAUCUCAACUGAUUUCAAGUUAAAGUGAUGUUUAUGUAUUAUGGCUAUAUAAAAUCGAGUUAGAAAACUAUAUAUAGUGUCCAAAAUUUAAGCUAUUUUCAAGUAACUUCUUACUUAUAAUGAAUUUUGUGCAAAACAAUUGAAGAAUUGUCAUACACUGUAACACCCCUUUUUUUAACUCCGAAAGAUAUAGUUUUAAGUUUCAAAGGGUUUUUUAUUAUCAAAGUGAUAAAAGAUUGAAAAUUUAUUUUGAAAAAAGAUUAUUUACAUUUUUUAUUCAGAGUCGCCACUUGACAUAAUCCGGUGUGCUAAGUCACCUUUGAAAGAUCCUUUUCAAAACGAUUUGACUCUUUAAAUUAAUUUGCAAACAGAGAUUCUGGCUAAGAAAUUCUGUUGACCGAGGGAAAGGUAUUAGGCACCCCUCGAUUCCGUGGUUUGACCACGAUCACUUGGAAGAGUGUAUCGACUAAUUUGACACUACGAAUAUACAAACCACACAAAAACAAGCAAAACAAUCAAACAAACAAAACAAAACGAAUAAAAAAUAUAGUGUUUAGUCCGAGUUAUACAGUCCCAAAAUAGAAAAAUACAGAAAUAUAAAUCCUGUUCUAAACUAAUCCUAGACUAAGCUCCAAUGCUUCACCCGAUGCCUCGGGCCUUCAUCAUGAACGUCUUCCGUGUACAAAAUACUUCAGAGCAUUCUCCGAAUAAAAUAAUACAAGUACUUCGGGGCAUUCCCCGGCCAAAUAAUACAAGUGAUCCCAAAGCGAUAAAGUCAAAAACCAUUCAAUCACACAGUUCGAAUAGUCAACAAACCAUAAUCCCUAAAUUUGCCUACCCCUAACGUUUGUCUAUUUUUUGCUUCAACCUAAAACACAAUACUAUCGAGUUCGAUUAACAUCCAUUUCAAGUCAAACAACCAAUGAAUCAAACUAACCAAAAAUUCACCCUUUUUUAAAUCCAUUUUUAAUCCCCGCCCCACUUUCAUUCUUGAUCAAUUAACCAAUUCCAAUGCAGAAGCAACCAAUCAAAAUCAAACAAUCACAGACGUUCAAACAUACUAUAAAAAAUUAUCAUCAGUCAAACCACGCAACUCACAAUAUCAACACAUCAAAUUGAAUAAAACGAGGAGAAUGGGUUAAAGAAUUGGACCUCAAAUGUCAGAUUUCAAUAUAUCGGAGAUAAAACUGCGCCCAAAAAGCCUCAAUUUGAACCUCGACCCACAAAACUCCAAUUCGGUAUCAGAAAUCGAAGCCCAAAAAUUGGUUGUGAUGAACAAGUUGAGACGAACGAGAACCCAAACCCCCAAAACAGCAACGAAGCCUGAUUAGCCCAACCCAAGAAACACCACAGAACCGAUCCACCCGUACGCGAAAUUAUAGCAAAAUCGAGUAAAAAACAGAGCUGAUUUCAACGAAAACCUCUCACUAAUUCAUCCUUUUUUUUUUUGGGGCCAAGUCUGGCUUCUUCAUUUUUGAUUUCCCUUCACUAGUUUCGAUCAGUAUUUGUGCUUUCCGAUGAGUAUGAUGAGGUGUAUAUAUCGUGAGAGCUUGAGUGUGUAUGCCGAUGGGAGCAAGAAAGGAGAAGAAAAUGAGGUCCCUAAUGGCGUUUGUGUGGGGGCUUGUUUUUUUUUGAAAAUGGAGGAAUUUUUGGUGAGUAUGUGUAGGAGAGAAUAGAGAAAAUUCUCUGGGUUUUUUUUCCUGUAUAUGCUGUAUAUGAUUUCUGUGUGUAUAUCUUCUCCUUACGAAAGAAUGGUGAGGACCCUUUUUGCUGUGUGAUGGUGAGUGAGAGUAUUCAAAGUGGGUCCCCCUUUUUUGGAAUAUAGCGUGUAUAUAUGGAUGGAUUCUUUGGUUAAGAUAAGUGAUGUCUAUUUUCUUCCUGUGGGCCCCUUUUAGUGGAAAUAUGUAUAUGUGGGUUAUAUUUGUAUUCCAUCAAAAGAGAAACUCAAUUAUGUUAAGGGUCUAACAAGAAUGGAAAAGACGUAUUAGGGGGUUAGGGGUUGUGGUGACGUAGGGUUAGGGGGUAUGUGGUGAUGUGUUGUCAAUUUUUAAUUGAAGAGGUUGUUGG
rnacentral:lncRNA from 1 species